rnacentral:misc_RNA from 1 species
GUGGGAGCCGAGCUUGCUCGCGAUGGGGGUGGCACAUUCAGCAAAUUUGGUGGCUGAUGGACCGCCAUCGCGAGCAAGCUCGGCUCCCAC